rnacentral:lncRNA from 1 species
GUAUUUUCGGUAACUAUUCCGCUGUGUAAUGACAUUUCCAUGACUGCGCUGGGAUUCUAUCAGGUGUCACAGUUUUUUGGGCGAAAUGAGGACAUUAUUAUUCAUCUUAAAAGAGAGAAAAUUAGAAUGAGCUGCCGCCCCACGAGCUGCGCUCUUUUUACCCUAAAAGCUUAAAAAAGCACCUUUGAAACAGGCGCGUGGCGGGUCUCGACCCAUCACUCGGCAGACUUGAGACAGAGAUCGGAACUCGGGUCUGUCACUGCGUUUCUUAUUUGUCAACCAGAAAACCACGACAGAUAGUUUGCAUACAUUUCCAUACUCAACUCCUGUAAUAUUCAUUCUGCACGAGCGGCACUUGUAACCGUUCCUAACACCGCGGUGUGUUUUACCUUGUCCCGCGCACAAGAGGUCGGAGAUCAAAAAGCACGAGAUUCUCAGCUCUGGUUCCGACGCGGUGGAACGAGAUGCCUGUCGCACUCACAACUGCUGAAUCCCUCUCAGCAUUCAAGACGGCUCUUAAAACACAUCUCUUCUCUACCGAUGUUCGAUAUGCAUUAUACACUUUCCCAAGGCCCACGUAUGAGUUCAAUAUCCCCUGCGGAUUACAUGCAGGCACGCGAGUGUGCGUCUCGUGCGCGCGCAAAAGUCCGGGUUUCGCACCAAGCGGCUGUUGCGCGACAGACAGUCGCGUGUCUGUAUCUGUCGCUCGUCUGCACUUUUAUUUUACCUUUCAUUUCUAUUUUCCCUCCCUUGCACGUCGCUUAGUUUGGAGAAAAGUUUCCACUAAGUAUAUGAAUUGUAAGGACCUCCCUCAAAGGCAGUACCGCAGGAGUGGGAUUCGAACCGGCAACCUGUGGUCGCUGAGGCACAGCGCUCACGAUCACCUGCUGGACGUCAACGUUUGUUUUCAAAAGUUAUAAAUUAGAGGUAUGAAUAGUAACCCCCCCACCCCACCCCGGAGAUCUGCCGCUCCAGCUUUGAGUCUCUAUGUCCGUGUUUGCACUCGAACCUGUAUGUUUUCAUUCUCCAUUAAUGACUGUUUAUUUUGGUAUCAAUCAGUUGU